rnacentral:lncRNA from 1 species
GAGAAGGUCUUUUACUCGUCUGCGUUACACAGGAAGUUGUUACUGUUGGUGGCGGUGGUGAUGAUGAUGAUGAACUUGGUGCACGGAAAAAUAAAUAUAAGUAACUUGAACAUUAUGUCCAGAACUGCGGUGAUAAAUUCUGUCCAGUCAGUGGUUUUGGCUCUGAUUGUUUGAAGCUGCAGCAGAUAGUGUGUGCCAGAGGCCAUGGCUAUCCGAGGCAGAAAUUAUACAAGAGUGACCUGCUCGCACGCUGCAGUCACUCUUGACCAGAAGAAAAGGAUGGUGACCUGAAAUAAUGCCUAGAUACCAACUGCUGUUCCGGAAAGAUGUCUUUAUCUGAGGCAACUGGAACUAUUAUAUGGUUACUUAGCAGAAGAACCGGAGUGCAGAUUCCAGAGCUGGGCGAGAGAGUUGCAUUUGCACACUGGCUGGGUGCGAUACCUUUAAAGAUGAAAUCUGAUGUGUAGGAGAGAGGCGCCGCUAACAAGAGCCAACUCAUCAGAGAAUAUCCAAAUUACAACACAGCUGUCGACAAGUGGAGCUGGGCCUUCACUGAAGUGAGUGUCAGGGAGGUCCGUGUGUAGCUUAGAUCAGCAUGAAAACAAUCGCAACAUUCUUCAGCCCACUCCUCUCUGCUGGCUGAAGCGGUGACUGUUUUAUGCACAGUGUGCUGUGGGAGAGUUCAGACAGAUGUCUCCGGGACGCACCGGGGCUUCGGAGGAAUCAGACUGAAACCAGGAUUGUGACAACUGAACAGGUGGAGGAACUGCUGUGCAGGUACUCACAGCAGACUGAAGGCGCUCUUCUCCCCCCAGCUACUAGACCAACAACAUUUCCAUUAGAAAAGGAGCUUGCGGCGUAUUUAUAGCUGGUUAAUUUCGGUGUUACGACGCGGAGCUCCGAGUGGGGUUCGGUAGGGAUCACUGUCAUGGUUUUUGGGCUUUCAUGACAAACUCAUAGACAGCAAAAUACACAAACAAACAAACAAGGGAGGUGGUGAUACCCUAACCUGAACUACUAAGGUGAUACACCAUGUUUUUAUUUAAAAAUAUGAAGGAAUUAUAACAUGAUUUGGGCUAUCUGACAUGGAGCUAUUUUUUGCCCUUAUUUUUCACCUUUUAUUUUACCUUUUCGUUUUUUUUUUUUUUUUGCCUGAUAUGAUGAAACAAAAAUUGUUCUUCAUUUGCUUCAUUUUUUCCCCUCUGACCUUUGUGGUUACUGUGUUUGUAGGGUUUCUGGGGUCCUAAAUUAAAAGGAAAAUCUGAUAUGUUUUUAGAUGCACAGUGUGUUUCGCCCAGCGUAAUAUUUCAGAGCGAGUGG